AAUGGCAAGAGGAAGAUGGCAUGGCUAAGCUGGGAGAGGAUGAUGUUACCCAAGGCCAUGGGGGGCAUGGGAUUCCGAGACAUGAGGGCUUUUAAUCAGGCUUUGCUUGCCAAGCAGGCCUGGCGCCUACUGGAUAGCCCAGAUAGCUUAUGUGCGAGGUUAUUGAGCGCGUGCAAGGGGAUCAGCGGUGGUGGGCGGGCAGGCCUGGGGCACCGCACCACGAGGUGGAGCCGGUGGACGUCGACCAUGGAGAUUGUGUGCUGUGCAGUGCUGCGGAUCUGCUCGGUUUCGGAGGUGUGGUGGAGCUCCGGGCGAAAGUCCAACCCCGUCUUUGGGUCGGUGCCGGCAACGGCGGCGCCAUGGCGUCGUUUCCCUUCUUGA
rnacentral:rRNA from 1 species